GACGAACGCUGGCGGCGUGCCUAAUACAUGCAAGUAGAACGCUGAAGGAGGAGCUUGCUUCUCUGGAUGAGUUGCGAACGGGUGAGUAACGCGUAGGUAACCUGCCUGGUAGCGGGGGAUAACUAUUGGAAACGAUAGCUAAUACCGCAUAAGAGUAGAUGUCGCAUGACAUUUGCUUAAAAGGUGCAAUUGCAUCACUACCAGAUGGCCCUGCGUUGUAUUAGCUAGUUGGUGAGGUAACGGCUCACCAAGGCAACGAUACAUAGCCGACCUGAGAGGGUGAUCGGCCACACUGGGACUGAGACACGGCCCAGACUCCUACGGGAAGCAGCAGUAGGGAAUCUUCGGCAAUGGACGGAAGGCUGACCGAGCAACGCCGCGUGAGUGAAGAAGGGUUUCGGAUCGUAAAGCUCGGUUGUAAGAGAAGAACGAGUGUGAGAGUGGAAAGUUCACACUGUGACGGUAUCUUACCAGAAAGGGACGGCUAACUACGUG
rnacentral:rRNA from 1 species